UGGAAUCAGAGAAACUUUGAGUGUUUCAAGAACACGGUUCUUGUGACAAUGCUUUCUGUGAAAAAUAAUUGAUAAGUAAUCCAGGUCUGUGUACUCAUCAAAGGGAAUCAGUUUCCUGUCAUUCAUCUGAUAUUAUAUAUUGAGGUUUCCUCUUCUGUUGUCAUUUGUAUUUGAUGCAGGUCAGUGGUAUGAAGUUCUUUAAUGGAGAUUUGUUUAAAAAACGUGUUGCAGGUAUCAUUACCAAAAAAAUGUGAUCACACUAGAGAACAACAUUAUUGAAGUUACCACAGGUGCUGCAGAUGUUAUAUCGAAUUGAAUUUUGAUUACUUUAGGGUUAGGGACCUUUUCACUACUGUUUGCUGCAGUGGCUAUUCAAAUCCUUUGUCAAGGGCUGCAGAAAAGAAUAAUGUUGUGGACAGUAAGCAGAUUAGUAUGUCUUGUCCUUAAAAUAAUGUGGCUGGUAUUCCCUUUACAAUGGAUAAUAGUGGUGUUUCUCCAUAAAGAAAACGUGAGGAGACAUAUCAGUUGAUUAUCAGGAAGAAAGAGUGCUUGAAAAACGAUGGAAUUUUGCAAUGCAAAUAAAAGCAGUAAUCAGUGUCUGAGACUGAAUAUUGUUAUUUAAAAAAUAUAAAAAGCUUUGCUUAGAAUAGACAUAAAAUUUGUGGUUGGUUUUAAACGAUUUGUAAUGCAAAUAAAUCCAGUAUCAGUA